AUUGAACGCUGGCGGCAUGCCUUACACAUGCCAGUCGAACGGUAACAGGUCUUCGGAUGCUGACGAGUGGCGAACGGGUGAGUAAUACAUCGGAACGUGCCCGAUCGUGGGGGAUAACGAGGCGAAAGCUUUGCUAAUACCGCAUACGAUCUACGGAUGACAGCGGGGGAUCUUCGGACCUCGCGCGGACGGAGCGGCCGAUGGCAGAUUAGGUAGUUGGUGGGAUAAAAGCUUACCAAGCCGACGAUCUGUAGCUGGUCUGAGAGGAUGAUCAGCCACACUGGGACUGAGACACGGCCCAGACUCCUACGGGAGGCAGCAGUGGGGAAUUUUGGACAAUAGGCGAAAGCCUGAUCCAGCCAUGCCGCGUGCAGGAUGAAGGCCUUCGGGUUGUAAACUGCUUUUGUACGGAACGAAAAGCCUCUUUCUAAUAAAGAGGGGUCAUGACGGUACCGUAAGAAUAAGCACCGGCUAACUACGUG
rnacentral:rRNA from 1 species